CAGGCAGGAGCCUGACUGCUCCGGGAGUCUUGGCAGAGCUCCUGUCCACAGCAGUGGGAUCCAGCACCAGCGGGAUGACGGAGUCAGAACAGCGCUCAACCCAGGGUACUUUUGGUGCAGCACUGCCUCCCUGUCUGACUGCAGCACACAAACAGUCCCCUAUUAAAGCAGUCACAGUUAACAGCGCUUUCUGUACCAAGCCAGGGCCGCUUCAAAAAUCAUUUUAACAAGUAGGAAUAACCCAUUAAAAGCCAUGAGGAGAAAAAGCUGACCAUGAAGCAGUCAGGUUCUCAGUCUCAUGGGUGCAACAAGAGCUUAUAAACCUCUGUUGAACCUGUGUGAUUGAACACCACCAUCAGCCACGAAAGACACCAGGCCCACCCCUGCCAGUGUCACCUGGUAUUCAUUCCAUCCGUCCAUCCUUCCAUCCAUCCAUCCAUCCAUCCUUCCAUCCCACCGCUCCAAGAGCUCCUCAGCGCCGCUCACGACUGGCGGAAAACCAAAAGCUGAGCAUCAAGAAUCCACAAAGUGCAUUUCUCAGAGACUGGAUUUAAACUGAAACCAGACUAAAAUAUGUGGAUGCCUAUGGAAUGUUGAGCUGAAGCUGGGCUCCCAGCCUGCAGUGCAACACCGGCUGUUUAAAACCCAAUCUCCGUACCACAUGACUUGGAAAAACCAAACCCCCCCCCCCGCCCCCCCCCCAAACGCAAUCAUGUUCAGAGAUGUGACAAAUAAAACUACAGGGUUUGCA